UCCAGACUCCUACGGGAGGCAGCAGUGGGGAAUAUUGGGCAAUGGGCGCAAGCCUGACCCAGCGACGCCGCGUGAGGGAAGACGGUCUUCGGAUUGUAAACCUCUUUCAGCAGGGAAGACAAAAGGACGGUACCUGCAGAAGAAGCCACGGCUAACUACGUGCCAGCAGCCGCGGUAAUACGUAGGUGGCAAGCGUUAUCCGGAAUUACUGGGUGUAAAGGGUGUGUAGGCGGGAAAGCAAGUCAGAUGUGAAAACCACGGGCUCAACCUGUGGCCUGCAUUUGAAACUGUUUUUCUUGAGUACUGGAGAGGCAGACGGAAUUCCUAGUGUAGCGGUGAAAUGCGUAGAUAUUAGGAAGAACACCAGUGGCGAAGGCGGCUUUCUGGACUGAAACUGACGCUGAGGCACGAAAGCGUGGGGAGCGAACAGGAUUAGAUACCCGCGUA
rnacentral:rRNA from 1 species